GUGUGUGUGUGUGUGUGUGUGUGUGUGUGUGUGAGCGCGCGCGCGCACGCGCGCGAAUGCGAACGAGGCUGAGAGAGAGAGAACCUAGGCGCUGCAGGUGGAGUUCUAGGGGCUCUGGCAGCGCCGCUAGCUCCCAGCACCAUUCCUGGCCGCGGAGCGCUGGGCGGAGGUCCAGGUGGCGACUCCCAGAGCAGCCCAGCUCCCGUCUCGCCACCCCCACCCUGCCCCAGCUAGGGGAAGAAGAUCCCGGACAGCACUGUCGAGCCCUGCCAGAUCAGAAAAAUAAAUAAAAAUAGACGUAGUGCAGGAGCGAGUUACAAGAAAGGAUUUGGUCAUCGAUUUUCUUAAAUGGAAAAGUUCUAAAGGAGGCGGCUGCCCUUCCCCUCCCCUCUCCAUCUUACCCUAGGCGAUAUAAAAUCAAAGCCCUGGAAAACAACUAUGUACUCAGCUUCCAAGGAAAACUUUCCAAGACAACCACCCUUCAGGGAUGUGACAUCUGCUCAUUUUAAGAUGGCAAAUUGCCAAAACAUUUUUUUUCAUCUUUCCAAAAAGGUUUACAAACUGAUAGAGUGAUUUAAAUGCAGAUCAUAGAAAGAAA
ensembl:lncRNA